CAAAGACAACCAGGAUGUUGGCUCAGAAGCAGCCAUACAUUCAAAGAGUGCGUAAUAGCUCACUGGUCGAGUGGUUCUGCGCCGAAAAUUUAACGGGGCUAAACGAUACACCGAAGCUUGGGAUGCAGCAUUGGCUGCAUGGUAGGAGAGCGUUCUGUACGGGGUGAAGUCAUAGCGGAAGCGGUGGUGGACUGUACAGAAGAGAGAAUGCCGGAAUGAGUAGCGAGAUUUAUGUGAGAAUCAUAAAGGCCGAAAGACUAAGGAUUUAGAAGGAAGGUUCGUCCGCUUCUAGUUAGCCGGGAGCUAAGGCGAGGCCGAAAGGCGUAGUCGAUGCACAUACGGUGGAGAUUCCGUAGCCGCCUCUUAAUUUAAGCAAAGGGACACUUUCAAAGGGAAUGACCCGGGCGUUGGUAGCCCCGGGCGAAAGGGACCGAAAUUAGAGUAGGGAAGCAUUUCUGGAGGAAGGCGAGAAAAGCUUUGCGGAUAGAGAGAGGCGCCCGUACCGCAAACCGACACAGGUAGUCAGGAAGAGGAUUCUAAGGCCAACGGGAGAAGGGUAGUUAAGGAACUCGGCAAAUUGACCCCGUAACUUCGGAAUAAGGGGUGCUCCUGAAAAGGAGCCGCAGUGAAUAGGCCCAGGCGACUGUUUAUCAAAAACACAGCUCUCUGCUAAAUCGAAAGAUGAAGUAUAGGGGGUGACACCUGCCCGGUGCUGGAAGGUUAAGAGGAAGGGUGCAAGCUCUGAAUUGAAGCCCCAGUAAACGGCGGCCGUAACUAUAACGGUCCUAAGGUAGCGAAAUUCCUUGUCGGGUAAGUUCCGACCCGCACGAAUGGUGUAACGAUCUGGGCACUGUCUCAACUACCCACCCGGCGAAAUUGUAGUACCGGUGAAGAUGCCGGUUACCCGCGGCAAGACGGAAAGACCCCAUGGAGCUUUACUGUAGCCUGAUAUUGGGUUUCGGUAUUCUAUGUACAGGAUAGGCGGGAGACUGGGAACCGAUGGCGUCAGCUGUCGGGGAGUCACCCUUGGGAUACCGCUCUUAGAGUACUGGAAUUCUAACCUGCGGCCGUGAAUCCGGCCGGGGGACAUUGUCAGGUGGGCAGUUUGACUGGGGCGGUCGCCUCCAAAAAGGUAACGGAGGCGCUCAAAGGUUCGCUCAGCACGGACGGAAACCGUGCCUCUGAGUGUAAACGCAAAAGCUAGCCUAACUGCGAGGAUGACGGUCCGAGCAGUAACGAAAGUUGGAGUUAGUGAUCCGGCGGUAUGUGAAUGGAAAUGCCGUCGCUCAACGGAUAAAAGCUACCCUGGGGAUAACAGGCUGAUCUCCCCCAAGAGU
rnacentral:rRNA from 1 species